CCAAAUCCACUUCAUCAGACGACUGCAAAUAUUACAUAUUUUCAUGGAGGUUGUAAUUCAGAAUCAUGUUAAUUUGCAAUGGUUGGAAUCCACCUUCAAUUACAUAUUUUCUUCUCUGACUAGUGAAUGCUCUAAGCUCAGUGAGUACAUUUGUAUCCCCACCAAUAUUCACCUACAUCUCUUGUCUCGAACUAGAGAAAGAAAA
rnacentral:lncRNA from 1 species